AUUGAACGCUGGCGGCAUGCCUUACACAUGCAAGUCGAACGGCAGCAUGAUCUAGCUUGCUAGAUUGAUGGCGAGUGGCGAACGGGUGAGUAAUACAUCGGAACGUGCCCUGUAGUGGGGGAUAACUAGUCGAAAGAUUAGCUAAUACCGCAUACGACCUGAGGGUGAAAGUGGGGGACCGCAAGGCCUCAUGCUAUAGGAGCGGCCGAUGUCUGAUUAGCUAGUUGGUGAGGUAAAGGCUCACCAAGGCGACGAUCAGUAGCUGGUCUGAGAGGACGAUCAGCCACACUGGGACUGAGACACGGCCCAGACUCCUACGGGAGGCAGCAGUGGGGAAUUUUGGACAAUGGGCGAAAGCCUGAUCCAGCAAUGCCGCGUGUGUGAAGAAGGCCUUCGGGUUGUAAAGCACUUUUGUCCGGAAAGAAAUGCUCUGGUUAAUACCUGGGGUCGAUGACGGUACCGGAAGAAUAAGGACCGGCUAACUACGUG
rnacentral:rRNA from 1 species